rnacentral:rRNA from 1 species
UACAGAGACUGCAAGCGUUAUUCGGAUUCACUGGGCGUAAAGGGUGCGCAGGCGGCCGUGUGUGUGAGGCGUGAAAGCCCGGGGCUUAACCCCGGAAUUGCACCUCAAACUACAGGCUAGAGCAUUGGAGAGGGUAGCAGGAAUUCAUGGUGUAGCAGUGAAAUGCGUAGAUAUCAUGAGGAAUACAGCAGAGGCGAAGGCGGCUACCUGGACAAUUGCUGACGCUCAGGCACGAAAGCGUGGGGAGCAAAAGGG